UCAACUAACAUCUUAUGUCUAAUUUCUAAGAUUUAGUUGUAAUUCAACUACGUGACUGCAACCCUACCACUUUCUCUUCAUUUUUGCUAUUCACUGUCUGAUUAAUGGAUUGGAACCCUUCCCUAAAAACCAAUUAAUAUAUAACAUAAACAAUGGAUCUUACUAUAACACUGAAAUAAUUAAGAUAAGUGUGUUUUGCAAACUUAUAUAUAGAGAUGCCCUGAACAAUAAUUUAUCUUACAAAAUUCUCUUAAAAACUUCGGCAGCUCUGCCAUUGUUGGUCUUUUAAGCAGACCUCUUGUCAAACAGAUAGAGAAAAGAUGGCAGAGAGCAGAUUAAGUUUGGUAGUUUAUAUGUUGUUAGUGUUGAUGACAGUUAUGGUGAAGGUGAAGGUGAAGGGAGAUCCAACAUGCAGUCCAGCAGGGAACUUCUGGUGCAACAGUGGGCGAUGUUGCAGCAUAUAUAACUGGUGUGGAAGUACAUCAGACUACUGUGCAUCUGGCAACUGCCUUGCUCAGUGCUGGCCUAAUGCUGUUGCUCUUAACCAGUCUACUUUGAAUCUAUCCCAAAAGAACCUUACCUCAGAUUGAAUCUAUGAUUCUAUCCCGAAAGAACCAGCCGGAGUGUUGGGAAGCAUUAAUUUUUCCAGAGCAUUUACUAUGGAGGUUUCUCCAACCAAAUAAAGUUCAGCAUUAACUUUUUCCAUCGGCAUUAACUUCUUCCAUUUACUUUUAAAAUAUUAUCCAAGUAUGUGUUUUGAAUAUCUAGAAUUCUGGAUAGUUCUAAAGACCUCUAUAAAAGAGGCAAUUGUAAUAGGUUAAGUAUCAAAGGAGUUUCAGCUGAUCAUGUAUGAGGAAUGCAGCAGCAUUCUCAGGCAAUAUAAUCUGUUGUUAACAAUUGAUUAAUGAAGAUCAGUACUGCAUCACUGUGGGCAAUUUGAUAAA